UUUCAGUUGAGCUGUCCACGAGGUGUUACGUGUCACCCGUGUUUUUAAGUUUCCUCUGAAAGGAAUCCAUUAGGAGUGGAAUCGCUAGACUGCAACUGAGGUCUGACAACAUUUAAUCUAAAGGUUAAAGCAUUCGAACAAGCACCCAGCUGACUCUAAUCCUGGUCCCCCAGACGAGGACCGGUCCCUCUGACCUCGGUGUGCUCAUCGAUUCAUCACGAUGCAUCUGUAAGAAAGACGCUGCCGCGCCGUCGUCGCUGCCGCCGCUGCUCCUCCUGACUCAUCCAUCCAGCUACAGGUGCCAACAGGUCUUCAGAUCAGAUGUCUGCCAUGAUCUGGACACAAGUGAUGUUUGUGAUAUUUCUAAGUCGAUCAUUUAAAUGUAUUUGUCAUAACACUGUAUAAUAAUGUAUCAAUAAAAUGACUUGUCUUGGGUUUUGUUCAGCACUCUAACAUCUUUCUUCCUGAAGGCCUUGUUGUUGCCACUGCUGACGCUAACAAAGCAGUUGUUCUGCUACAGACUGAAGCUGGAAUGUAAAACAGGGUCACUUCCAGAAAAGACUGCCUGUAUCUGAUGGCAAUCUUGUUGUUUUCAGUCACCAGCUAACUUCAGUACAGCACACUAAUGUGUUGUUAAUUCUCCUCAUCACACUCCCAAAACAUGUAAUCAUUGACAUGGUAAUGUUGUGUAUGAUCAGUUUAAAACAGGUUCUAAUCCUCGAUGACUGUUCUCACGAAGAAUGCAGAGAAAGAAACUUGGCACCAGGUUUCAUGUCAUCUGUUACUACUUCGGAUCUUUGCCAUAUGAAUGGAG